AACGAACGCUGGCGGCAUGCCUAACACAUGCAAGUCGAACGAGACCUUCGGGUCUAGUGGCGCACGGGUGCGUAACGCGGGGGAACCUGCCCUUAGGUUCGGAAUAACUCCCCGAAAGGGGUGCUAAUACCGGAUAAUGUCUUCGGACCAAAGAUUUAUCGCCUUUGGAUGGGCCCGGGUUGGAUUAGCUAGUUGGUAGGGUAAAAGCCUACCAAGGCGACGAUCCAUAGCUGGUCUGAGAGGAUGACCAGCCACACUGGGACUGAGACACGGCCCAGACUCCUACGGGAGGCAGCAGUGGGGAAUAUUGGACAAUGGGCGAAAGUCUGAUACAGCAAUGCCGCGUGAGUGAUGAAGGCCUUAGGGUUGUAAAGCUCUUUUACCCGGGAUGAUAAUGACAGUACCGGGAGAAUAAGCACCGGCUAACUCCGUG
rnacentral:rRNA from 1 species